rnacentral:rRNA from 1 species
AGUGAACGCUGGCGGUAGGCCUAACACAUGCAAGUCGAACGGCAGCACAGUAAGAGCUUGCUCUUACGGGUGGCGAGUGGCGGACGGGUGAGGAAUACAUCGGAAUCUACUUUUUCGUGGGGGAUAACGUAGGGAAACUUACGCUAAUACCGCAUACGACCUACGGGUGAAAGCAGGGGAUCUUCGGACCUUGCGCGAUUGAAUGAGCCGAUGUCGGAUUAGCUAGUUGGCGGGGUAAAGGCCCACCAAGGCGACGAUCCGUAGCUGGUCUGAGAGGAUGAUCGGCCGCCCUGGAGAUGGGACGCGGGCCAGACUCGGACGGGAGGCAGCGGCGGGGAAUAUUGGGGAAGGGGCGGAAGCCUGAACCAGCCAUACCGGGUGGGUGAAGAAGGCCUUCGGGUUGUAAAGCCCUUUUGUUGGGAAAGAAAAGCAGCAGGUUAAGACCCCGCUGUUCUGACGGAACCCAAAGAAUAAGCACCGGCUAACUUCGU